UCAAUCCAAGAUAAGCACCAACUGUGCCUUCUCCAGGACCAUGUGCCGCUAUAUAGGAAAAACCGACAUCUGGAAACAACCCAAUUCCAUUUUCUGGCAUCGCUAGAACAGUCCUCUCUGUAAUAACCUUGUAACGACCAUGACCAGAUAAACCAAUUCCAAAGCCCAUUGUGAUGCCAUCCAUGAAGCUGAUGUAAGGCUUUUUGUACCCGGAGAUUUUACAUAUUAUAGGAUACUCAGCUGUGAAUACCUCUAUCAUAUCUGACUGCUGUUUUUUUGCUGCAAUCUGCUUGAUAUCACUACCUGCUGAAAAGGCACGGGGAGAACUACUGGCAGCCAAAACACAUUUUACUCUUGGGUCUGUUUCCCAUUCAUCCAGGAAACUCUUGUAUUUGAUAUCCAUAUCUAAGUUCAUUGCAUUGAGAGCUUUAGGACGAUCGAGAGUGAUAACGGCGACACCGUUCGGGUGGACAUGUCCCCUGACAAAUUCAUCGGCGCCGGAGUCCAUGAUGGCGAAAUUUCGAUGAGGAAGAAACAUGGUCAUUUUGGAGUAAUUACGUAAUAAGGAGUGAGAAGUCGCAGCAGCGAG
rnacentral:misc_RNA from 1 species